GUGAAGUUCCUUCGGGGAUGAGUAAAGUGGCGCACGGGUGAGUAACACGUGGGUAAUUUGCCUUCGGGUGGGGAAUACCAACCGGAAACGGUUGUUAAUACCGCAUGAUGCAGCGGCACCGCAAGGUGACAGUUGUUAAAGCGGGGGAUCGCAAGACCUCGCGCCUGAAGAGAAGCCCGCGGCAGAUUAGGUAGUUGGUGAGGUAAUGGCUCACCAAGCCCGCGAUCUGUAACCGGCCUGAGAGGGCGGUCGGUCACACUGACACUGACAUACGGGUCAGACUCCUACGGGAGGCAGCAGUCGGGAAUUUUGGGCAAUGGGCGCAAGCCUGACCCAGCAACGCCGCGUGAAGGAUGAAGCAUUUCGGUGUGUAAACUUCGCAAGAAUAGGAAGAAUAAGCGACGGUUAACAACCAGCGCGAUGACGGUACUAUUUGUAAGCCCCGGCUAACUCCGUGCCAGCAGCCGCGGUAAUACGGGGGGGGCAAGCGUUGUUCGGAUUUACUGGGCGUAAAGGGUGCGUAGGCGGCACCACAAGUCACUUGUGAAAUCUUUGGGCUUAACCCAAAGCGGUCAAGUGAUACUGUGGAGCUAGAGUGCAGAAGGGGCAACUGGAAUUCUCGGUGUAGCGGUGAAAUGCGUAGAUAUCGAGAGGAACACCUGCGGCGAAGGCGGGUUGCUGGGCUGACACUGACGCUGAGGCACGAAAGCUAGGGUAGCAAACGGGAUUAGA
rnacentral:rRNA from 1 species